CACAAAGGCAGAGAAGGGAGACUCCUCCCAGGCACCGCCCACUCUGGUCACCAACUGGGCAGGCUUCUAGAACAGACCCUUACCUACUGUAGCUGCAUGUCACUCAGCCAGGAAGAUCAGCACCAACUCACUGUUGUGGGGGCCCCUUCAUGUGGAGUAGGAUUUGAGUUUGAAGGGGGCUUUCUGUUCUCUUCUGCUCCUUCUCUUCCCAGGAGUAGCAGCCAUGCUGUGUGCUGUGUCUCUGCUUCUGGCUUUCUUGCAUCCUGGCAGUCAAACAUCUUCCAACAUGGAAAUGGGAAUGAUCUCAGUCACCAGGACACCCGGCUCACAUUUGACAAUCACUUGUGAUUUGCACACAGAAAAGAGCUACGUCCACUGGUACCGAUUUCGGGAGGGCCAGGCCCCACAACGCCUUCUCUAUUAUGACCAGUCUAGCUCCAAGGUUAUGCUGGAUUCGGGAUUCAGACCAGGGAAAUACAAUGCUUAUCAAGCCACAUGGAAGAGCAAUAAGUUUGUAGCAAGGAAUGUGGAAGAAAGCGAUUCUGGCGUGUAUUACUGUGCAAUCUGGGCAGGCACAGUGCUUCACACCUGCUCAGCGCUGCACUGAAAAGUGUGCUUGUGACUGCUCCUGGUGCACAGGAAGGAUCAGCCUCCAGCUCACUUCCUGCCCUGAUUUCCUCGGUGAUGUGAUCAAAUUCCAUUUGACGAGUGGACUGAAUGUCUAUUUGUCUAUAGCUUUACAGAAGUGAGGGCUUUUUCUGUUGUUGUUUUAAUCACUUCAUAAGAAUUCCAGUAAGAGAUGAAAA